rnacentral:rRNA from 1 species
UACGUAGGGUGCGAGCGUUAAUCGGAAUACUGGGCGUAAAGCGUGCGCAGGCGGUGAUGUAAGACAGGUGUGAAAUCCCCGGGCUUAACCUGGGAAUUGCGUUGGAGACUGCAAGGCUGGAGUCUGGCAGAGGUGAGAAUUCCACGUGUAGCAGUGAAAUGCGUAGAGAUGUGGAGGAACACCGAUGGCGAAGGCAGCCCUGGG